UGGGGAAUCUUGCACAAUGGGGGAAACCCUGAUGCAGCGACGCCGCGUGAGCGAUGAAGCCCUUCGGGGUGUAAAGCUCUUUCGACGGGAACGAUAAUGACGGUACCCGAAGAAGAAGCUGCGGCUAACUACGUGCCAGCAGCCGCGGUAAUACGUAGGCAGCAAGCGUUGUUCGGAAUUACUGGGCGUAAAGAGUGUGUAGGCGGUGUUCUAAGUCUGUUGUGAAAUCUCCCGGCUCAACUGGGAGGGUGCGGCGGAGACUGGAAUGCUAGAGUAUGGGAGAGGUAAGCGGAAUUCCUGGUGUAGCGGUGAAAUGCGUAGAUAUCAGGAGGAACACCUGUGGUGUAGACAGCUUACUGGACCAUGACUGACGCUGAGACACGAAAGCGUGGGUAGCAAACAGGAUUAGAUACCCUGGUAGUCCACGCCCUAAACGAUGCAUACUUGGUGUGAGCCAUUCAUUUGGUUCGUGCCGGAGCUAACGCGUUAAGUAUGCCGCCUGGGGAGUACGGUCGCAAGGCUG
rnacentral:rRNA from 1 species